GAUGAACGCUGGCGGCGUGCCUAAUACAUGCAAGUCGAGCGAACAGACGAGGAGCUUGCUCCUCUGACGUUAGCGGCGGACGGGUGAGUAACACGUGGAUAACCUACCUAUAAGACUGGGAUAACUUCGGGAAACCGGAGCUAAUACCGGAUAAUAUAUUGAACCGCAUGGUUCAAUAGUGAAAGACGGUUUUGCUGUCACUUAUAGAUGGAUCCGCGCCGCAUUAGCUAGUUGGUAAGGUAACGGCUUACCAAGGCAACGAUGCGUAGCCGACCUGAGAGGGUGAUCGGCCACACUGGAACUGAGACACGGUCCAGACUCCUACGGGAGGCAGCAGGAGGGAAUCUUCCGCAAUGGGCGAAAGCUUGACGGAGCAACGCCGCGUGAGUGAUGAAGGUCUUCGGAUCGUAAAACUCUGUUAUUAGGGAAGAACAAAUGUGUAAGUAACGAUGCACGUCUUGACGGUACCUAAUCAGAAAGCCACGGCUAACUACGU
rnacentral:rRNA from 1 species